AACUGAUACUACCUGCGGGAACCUGCGGAGGGAUCAUUACCGAGUUUUCAACUCCCUAACCCUUCUGUGAACCUACCUAUCGUUGCUUCGGCGGACUCGCCCCAGCCCGGACGCGGACUGGACCAGCGGCCCGCCGGGGACCUCAAACUCUUGUAUUCCAGCAUCUUCUGAAUACGCCGCAAGGCAAAACAAAUGAAUCAAAACUUUUAGCAAUGGAUCUCUAGAUCGGAAGAGCACACG
rnacentral:misc_RNA from 1 species